rnacentral:lncRNA from 1 species
UUCGACAAUGGCACGUCGUCUCAACACUUCAUACAUACGUAUCCAACAAUGUCCCACAAGAGCCGAGGAUUGACAAUCCCGAGUGACUAUUACGUGUGACAAUACUUUGGAUAGAAUUUGAAGCUUGAAGACCAUGGGCAUAGACCCCUCUUCCUGACUUCGUCAACCUCUAACCCAUGUCAUUGCGUAACUCUCGACACAAG